rnacentral:lncRNA from 1 species
UAGAGGUGGCAGUGGGCGUGCAGGAGAAGCUGUAGGUCGGGAGGUAGAGUUGGCAGUGGGCGUGCAGGAGAAGCUGUAGGUCGGAGAGGUAGAGGUGGCAGUGGGCGUGCAGGAGAAGCUGUAGGUCGGGGGGUAGAGGUGGCAGUGGGCGUGCAGGAGAAGCUGUAGGUCGGGGGGUAGAGGUGGCAGUGGGCGUGCAGGAGAAGCUGUAGGUCGGGAGGUAGAGGUGGCAGUGGGCGUGCAGGAGAAGCUGUAGGUCAGGAGGUAGAGGUGGCAGUGGGCGUGCAGGAGAAGGUGUAGGUCAGGGGGUAGAGGUGGCAGUGGGCGUGCAGGAGAAGCUGUAGGUCGGGAGGUAGAGGUGGCAGUGGGCGUGCAGGAGAAGCUGUAGGUCAGGGGGUAGAGGUGGCAGUGGGCGUGCAGGAGAAGCUGUAGGUCGGGGGGUAGAGGUGGCAGUGGGCGUGCAGGAGAAGGUGUAGGUCAGGAGGCAGAGGUGGCAGUGGGCGUGCAGGAGAAGCUGUAGGUCGGGAGGUAGAGGUGGCAGUGGGCGUGCAGGAGAAGCUGUAGGUCGGGAGGUAGAGGUGGCAGUGGGCGUGCAGGAGAAGCUGUAGGUCGGAG